rnacentral:rRNA from 1 species
UUCCGGUUGAUCCCGCCGGAGGUCACUGCUAUUGGGGUCCGACUAAGCCAUGCGAGUCAAUAGUUCUUCGUGAACUAGGCGGACGGCUCAGUAACACGUGGGUAAUCUACCCUCAGGACAGGGAUAACCCCGGGAAACUGGGGAUAAUACCUGAUAGGUGGAGACGUCUGAAAUGAUCCUCCGCCCAAAGCUCCGGCGCCUGAGGAUGAGCCUGCGGCCGAUUAGGUUGUUGGCGGUGUAACGGACCACCAAGCCUGAGAUCGGUACGGGCACUGAGAGGUGGAGCCCGGAGAUGGGGGCUGAGAAACGGCCCCAGGCCCUACGGGGCGCAGCAGGCGCGAAAACUCCGCAAUACGCGAAAGCGUGACGGGGGGACCCCAAGUGUCAUGCCUUCGGGUAUGACUU